rnacentral:rRNA from 1 species
CAAGUCGAACGCGAAAGUCCCCUUCGGGGGACAAGUAGAGUGGCGCACGGGUGAGUAACACGUAGGUAAUCUACCUUCGGAUGGGGAAUAACAACCGGAAACGGUUGCUAAUACCGCAUAAUGCAGCGGCACCUAAUGGUGACAGUUGUUAAAGCGGGGGAUCGCAAGACCUCGCGUCUGAAGAGGAGCCUGCGGCGGAUUAGCUAGUUGGUAAGGUAAUGGCUUACCAAGGCGACGAUCCGUAACCGGCCUGAGAGGGCGGUCGGUCACACUGACACUGACAUACGGGUCAGACUCCUACGGGAGGCAGCAGUCGGGAAUUUUGGGCAAUGGGCGAAAGCCUGACCCAGCAACGCCGCGUGAAGGAUGAAUCCCUCGGGAUGUAAACUUCGCAAGAACGGGAAGAAUAAGUAGGGGACAAUACCCCCUAUGAUGACGGUACCGUUUGUAAGCUCCGGCUAACUCCGUGCCAGCAGCCGCGGUAAUACGGGGGGAGCAAGCGUUGUUCGGAUUUACUGGGCGUAAAGGGCGCGUAGGCGGCCAGCGCAAGUCAGUUGUGAAAUCUCCGAGCUUAACUCGGAAAGGUCAACUGAUACUGCGCGGCUAGAGUGCAGAAGGGGCAACUGGAAUUCUUGGUGUAGCGGUGAAAUGCGUAGAUAUCAAGAGGAACACCUGCGGCGAAGGCGGGUUGCUGGGCUGACACUGACGCUGAAGCGCGAAAGCUAGGGGAGCGAACGGGAUUAGAUACCCCGGUAGUCCUAGCCUUAAACGAUGAAUGCUUGGUGUCUGGGGUUAUAAA